rfam:Triticum urartu cultivar G1812 contig375969, whole genome shotgun sequence.
CAGUUACUCACUUCGUUUGGAAAAGCUUGUCCCUCAAAUUAAUGUAUCUAGCAUCAAGUUCGUGCUAGAUACAUCCAUUUGAGAAACAAGCUUGGGACAAGUUUUUUCGGACGAAGGGAGUACAUG